rnacentral:rRNA from 1 species
CCAGCAGCCGCGGUAAUACGAAGGGACUAGCGUAGUCGGAAUUACUGGGCUUAAAGAGUUCGUAGGUGGUUAAAAAAGUUGGUUGUGAAAUCCCGAAGCUUAACUUCGGAACUGCAAUCAAAACUUUUUAGCUAGAGUAUGAUAGAGGAAAGCAGAAUUUCUAGUGUAGAGGUGAAAUUCGUAGAUAUUAGAAAGAAUACCAAUUGCGAAGGCAGCUUUCUGGAUCAUUACUGACGCUGAGGAACGAAAGCAUGGGUAGCGAAGAGGAUUAGAUACCCUCGUAGUCCAUGCCGUAAACGAUGUGUGUUAGACGUUGGAAAUUUAUUUUCAGUGUCGCAGCGAAAGCAGUAAACACACCGCCUGGGGAGUACGACCGCAAGGUUAAAACUCAAAUGAAUUGACGGGGACCCGCACAAGUAGUGGAGCAUGUGGUUUAAUUCGAAGAUACGCGCAGAACCUUACCAACACUUGACAUGUUCGUCGCGGCUCUAAGAGAUUAGAGCUUUCGGUUCGGCCGGACGAAACACAGGUGCUGCAUGGCUGUCGUCAGCUCGUGUCGUGAGAUGUUGGGUUAAGUCCCGCAACGAGCGCAACCCUCACUUUUAGUUGCCACCAUUUAGUUGGGCACUCUGAAAGAACUGCCAGUGAUAAGCUGGAGGAAGGUGGGGAUGACGUCAAGUCCUCAUGGCCCUUACGUGUUGGGCUACACACGUGCUACAAUGGCAUUUACAAUAGGAAGCAAGAUGGCGACGUCAAGCAAAUCCUAAAAAGAUGCCUCAGUUCGGAUUGUACUCUGCAACUCGAGUACAUGAAGCUGGAAUUACUAGUAAUCGCGGAUCAGCGCGCCGCGGUGAAUACGUUCCCGGGUCUUGUACACACCGCCCGUCACACCAUGGGAGUUGGUUCUACCUUAAGGCAAGGUUUAAAACCCUUGACCACGGUAUAGUCAGCGACUGGGGUGAAGUCGUAACAAGGU